UUAUAAACAUUUAUUAUAAUUAUUUUUUUGUGUCAUAUAUGCGAUGUGAUGAUUAGAUUUUAAUAUGAUCAAAACAAAAUAAAGUGCAGAUAUAGUGGAAAAUAACGCAUAAAGUGUUAUUUGGAACAUAUGAUGUGCAAGCGCGAUUCGAAUGACACCUAAGAUCCACGUCUGAUGACAAACGUGAACAGGAUCAGGGUGGUCGUCCUCGGCGGCCCCAGAGUUGGAAAAUCAGCCGUGGUAGUACGCUAUUUAACGAGGCGAUACAUUGGCGAAUACAGCUCAACCAGUGAUUUCCUAUACCGGCACAGCGUUACCAUCGAUAAUGUUAGUACCGAAGUCGAGAUACUGGACACUUCCAGGUGCGAGGAAAAUGGUUGUCUAUAUUCCCAUAUAAGAUGGGGCGAGGCUUUCGUAAUCGUUUACAGUGUAACAUGCAAACGAAGUUUUCAGGAAGCCCGUGGAUUGUUAAAGCAACUGGCUGAUUUACGUCUGCCAUCCUACUUCACUGCUCUGUUGCUCGGCAAUAAGAGAGAUCUGGAUCAUGCUCGAGAGGUAUGCGUGGAUGAGGGCCAGCAACUGUCCUUGGCUCAUGGAUGUCAAUUUUACGAGGUUAGUGCGGCGGAAAGUCCUGCGGGGGCAGCACUGGCAUUCCAAGCGCUGCUCCGUGAAGCAAGAUCGGUUCAAUUGCUCCGAGCACUUCCUAUCCGCCGGAAAUUGGGCGUCCACUCGGUCUCGAGGGUGCUCGGCACGAUCUUUGGCAAGAAUACGACGAAGGACCGCAAAAAGAGGCCCUCGUUAAGCAUAUGACGCCUUCUUUGCGCCCUCCUCCUUGGAGGUCGUGACGAACCUGAUAGAAGAACCGAUGUGAUCGUUCUUACCAGCAACGUCUAUUCAAACCGUUGAUGACGACAUAGAAAACGAUCAUCUGACCAACGUGGAUCAAGUCGCCAAUCUUCCGCCUUUUGAUGUCUUCUGAAAAAAAAGUUCCUGGCGUUUUGAUUCAGUUUCAAGACUGAUAUAGAGAAACAUUAGGACGUUAUCUGGCGGACAGAUCUACCACAACAUCAUAAUUUUGUUGACUGUUCGUCAUUGGGUGAAGAGAGAGAGAGGGUGCAGGAGAUGCAUAUCUGGCGAACACCAGCUCCGUUUCACGCGGCUUGUAAGAAUAUUUCGGGAGUUCGAUCGGAAAACGAGAGAAUUAUCUGUUGGAGAGUAUUUAUCUAGCGUUUCACUCGAAAUUCUCAGGACAUUUUUAUUUAAUAUCUGUGAAGGAAAAAUAUCCAUGAGAAAAUCUCGUGAAAGACUGUCACGAGCGUGAAAAAGGCGACAAAUGACUUUAUAAAAUCGGACCAAGAACCUAGUAUUUUGUCUCUGUCGUAUUUCAUGUUCUUAUUGUUUCUUUUUCUUUUUUUCUCUCUAUUUUUUUCACUCUUUUACUUUUUCUACAUUUUUUUCAUUCUUAGAGUGAUUAAAUCAAGUAUCUUCUUCGAGGAAUAGAGCCUCGAGUGUCAGUUUUGUCGGAUCUCAACGGUUCGAGAAUACCGUACUGCAUGUGUGACUGCUGUUCCUGAACGUAGCUUUAA